rnacentral:rRNA from 1 species
AAUCAACGCUGGCGGCGUGCCUCAGACAUGCAAGUCGAACGCGAAAGUCCCCUUCGGGGGAGUGAUUAGAGUGGCGCACGGGUGAGUAACACGUAGGUAAUCUACCUUCGAGUGGGGAAUAACUCAGGGAAACUUGAGCUAAUACCGCAUAAUGCAGCGGCACCACAUGGUGACAGUUGUUAAAGCAUUUAUGCGCUUGAAGAGGAGCCUGCGGCGGAUAGCUAGUUGGUAAGGUAAUGGCUUACCAAGGCUACGAUCUGUAACCGGCCUGAGAGGGCGGACGGUCACACUGACACUGAAUAACGGGUCAGACUCCUACGGGAGGCAGCAGUCGGGAAUUUUGGGCAA